GAGCUUAUGAUGAUAAAAACAAUUAUCUUAGCGGAUUUCAGUGAGGUUUUUAUUGAUCAAUGAUCUGAAUUUGUUACACACACUGAAGCUC
rfam:Brassica napus, WGS project CCCW01000000 data, contig: 22418